AUGUAUAGGUUAGUCAGAGAAGACUCACGGGCGAGUUACAUGGCGACAUCAGCAUUCCAAAAAUACUGGAAGUUGUGGCGAGCUCGGGCUGUGACUGUAAAAGAGAUCAAUGAGAUAAGAGGAGAGGAAUUCCUGUUUCAGUGAGUGCUUGUGGGUAACGAUGUUCUGGGUUGUUCAGAGGACUGAAUGUAUGUGACUGGUGAAGACACCGAAUAGAAGUUCUCGGUGAACCCGUUUCAAUGAAGAAACUUGACAUUUACAGCGACCAAAUACACGAGUCAUGCUUGUGGAGUUCAGGAGCUUGAGACAGACACCACGAUUUGGAACAGCGCGCCGAACCUGGGAUCUGGAUGAGUCCGUUUUAAGUGGGAGAUUCUGUCGGCAAUUUGAGUAGGAAGACGCUCUUUAAUGUCGAAUAAUAUGCAGCGAAAACUGACAAAUUAUUAAUCAAUUUAUACUGUCACAACAACGCUUGUUCAGCCAACCAGCAGCAAAAUAGCGAGCGCUGCCCUACGGUGUUAAAGGGACACCGCAGGUAUUGACCAAGUUGUUGUCGUGCCAUUGUCGGACCUGGAUUGACUAAAUUGCCAUCAUGUCGUCCGGAGCGGAGAAGAGGCUGGAGACCCGGCUGAAAAAGUUGGAAUCGCUGAUCAGAGACCCGAAGUCGGCGUUAAACUUGGAGAGUUUACUGAAGUCAACAAAUGAGAGUGCCUGGGGACACGCAGGGCCUGGGUUAACCCCCACAUCUCCAGAGGAACAGAGGAGGAGUAGGAUGAGGAUACGGCUAAAGACUAUCAAGACUGGUCAUCUAGAUUCCAUGAAUGCCUUGGCCCUGGAUUUGGACUACCCAGCGCUACGGAAAAACAAAAACAUAGACGCCUUCUUAAACAGAUAUGAGAAGGCCAUGGUUAAGAUGAGGGACCUGCAGAUCAAACUGGAGGACUUUGACAAGGUCAAGAUGAUCGGCAGAGGAGCCUAUGGAGAGGUGCAACUGGUCCGUCACAAGGCGUCUCAGAAGGUGUACGCCAUGAAACAGCUGAGCAAGUUUGAGAUGAUCAAACGCUCUGACUCCGCCUUCUUCUGGGAGGAGAGAGACAUCAUGGCCUUCUCCAACAGCCCCUGGGUCGUCCAGCUGUGCUGUGCUUUCCAAGAUGACCUCCACCUCUACAUGGUGAUGGAGUAUAUGCCUGGUGGAGAUCUGGUCACCCUGACCAUGAACUACGACAUGCCAGAGAAGUGGGUCCGUUUCUACACUGCCGAGGUGGUGCUGGCUCUAGAUGCCAUACACUCUAUGGGUUUCAUCCACCGCGAUGUGAAACCGGACAACAUACUACUGGACCAAAAUGGCCACCUCAAGCUGGCUGACUUUGGCACCUGCAUGAAGAUGGACUCUACGGGCAUGGUCCACUGUGACACAGCGGUGGGGACUCCGGACUACAUCUCCCCUGAGGUGCUCAAGUCCCAGGGGGGGGACGGCUAUUACGGCCGCGAGUGUGACUGGUGGUCCGUGGGGGUGUUCAUCUUUGAGAUGCUGGUCGGCGACACCCCGUUUUAUGCUGAGUCACUAGUAGGAACAUACGGGAAGAUCAUGGAUCACAAGAAUAACCUCAACUUCCCUGAUAAUGUGCAGAUGUCCAAUGACACCAAGGACCUCAUCUGUGCCUUCCUGUCUGACAGGGAGGUGCGUCUGGGGAGGAACGGCGUGGAGGAGAUCAAGAGACACCCCUUCUUCACGAACGACCAGUGGACCUUCGACACCAUCCGAGAGACCGUGGCCCCAGUAGUGCCGGAGUUGAGCAGUGACAUAGACACCAGUAACUUUGACGAGAUUGAGGAUGAAAAAGGCGACGUGGAGACCUUUCCCACACCAAAGGCCUUUGUGGGCAACCAGCUGCCAUUUGUGGGUUUCACCUACUUCAAGGAAGACCAAUUGCUAAGCAGUGUGAAUAAAGUGAUCUCUGUGGAGGAAUCUAAGGACUGUGUGGAUAACUGUGAGGAAAAACAGGACAGCAUCAAAGGAGAGUCAGAUCAGCUGCAGAAGAAGCUCCAUUGUCUUGAGGAGCAGCUCAACCAUGAGAUGCAGGCCAAAGACCACCUGGAAAACAAAUACAAGACUACCACUAGUCAUCUAGAGAAGCUGGUUAAAGAACUGGAGGAAGAGAUGAGCAGCAGGCAGAGAGUGGAGUCUUCGCUGAGGCAGCUGGAGAGAGAGAGGGCCCUGCUGCAGUACCAGAGUGCAGAGAACCUCCGCAAAGUGGAGCUGGAGGCGGACAGGAAACGCUGCCUGGAGAACGACCUGAACAGCCUGCGGGACCAGCUGGAAGAGCUGAAGAGGAGGAACCAGACCUCUCAGAUGUCCAGUGACAAGAACAUCCACCUGCAGAGACAGCUGGAUGAGGCGACAGCCAUGCUGGCAGAGGAGCAGGAGGCGGCGGGGCGUCUGCGGAGGAGCCAGGUGGAGGCCCAGAAGCACGCCCAGGCCCUGGAGCUCAGCCUCAGGGAGCUGGUGGACAAGUGCACCCAGCUGGAGAACGCCAAGAUGGGCCUGGAGCAGCAGCUGAUGGGCCUUCAGGCCGACCUGGAGGCUGAGAGGAGGGACCGCUGUCUGGGGACAGAGAUUAUAGUUGACCUGCAGGGACAUGUCCAGGGUCUGGAAGAGGAGGUGAAGCAGGUGAGGGGUUCUCUCUCUGGAACACAGACAGAGAAGAGGCAGCUUCAGCAGAGACUCACUGACAUGGAGAAGGAGAAGAGCAACCAGGAGAUUGACCUGACGUUCAAGCUCAAGUCGUUGCAACAGAGUUUUGACAUAGAGGAGGCCGAGCACAAGGCCACCAAGACACGCCUUGCUGACAAGAACCAGGUCUAUAAGUCCAUUGAGGAGGCCAAGUCUGAGGCCCUGAAAGGGAUGGAGCAGACGCUGCAGGAGGAGCGGAGCUCCAAGCUGCAGUUGGAGUCCAGACUGCUGCAGCUGGAGAGGGAACACUCCAUGCUGGACUGUGACUACAAGCAGGCCCAGCACAAAGUGGAUGAGCUGAACACGCACAAGGACAAACUUGCCGAGGAGGUGAAGAACCUGAGCCUGGGCAUGGAGCAAGAGGAGCAGAAACGCAGGCUGAGCCAGAACGACCUGAAGGCCCAGACCCAUCAGGUGACCGCCCUGCGCUCCUCAGAGAAGCAGCUGAAGCAGGAGCUCAACCACCUGCUAGACAUGAAGCAGAGCCAGGAGAAACAGAACCAUGAGCUGCGCAGGGAGAGACAGGAGGCUGAAGGACAGCUGAAGGAGUUGAAGGACCAGCUGGAGGCAGAGCAGUAUUUCACGACCCUGUACAAGACCCAGAACCGGGAGCUGAAGGAGGAGUGUGAUGAGAGGAACAAGCUGUAUAAAGAUAUUCAGCAGAGACUGGAGGAGUACCAGGAAGAAAGGGAUUCCCUGGCGGCCCAGCUGGAGGUGAGCCUGACCAAGGCGGACUCGGAGCAGCUGGCGCGCUCCAUCGCCGAAGAGCAGUACUCUGACCUAGAGAAGGAGAAGAUCAUGAAGGAACUGGAGGUGAAGGAUAUGACGGCCAGACACAGGCAGGAGCUAGGAGACAAGGAGGCUACCAUCGGCUCGCUGGAGGAGUCCAACCGCACCCUGACAGUGGACGUGGCCAACCUGGCCAAUGAGAAGGAGGAGCUCAAUAACCAACUGAAGGAGAUGCAGCAACAGCUGCAGAAGGCCAGAGAGGAGGAGAGACAGAUGAACUGUGUGAAGAUGUCCUUUGAGAAGCAGCUGCAGACGGAGAGAACGCUCAAGAUUCAGGCGAUCAACAAGCUGGCCGAGAUCAUGAACCGCAGGGAGACGUUGCGAACGGGUCACAACCGCGACGACACGCUGGACAUGCGCAGGAAGGAGAAGGAGAACAGGAAGCUGCAGCUGGAGCUGAGGUCAGAGAAGGAGAAACUCAACUCCACCAUCAUCAAGUACCAGAAAGAGAUCAACGACAUGCAGGCGGUGAUAUCAGACGAGAGCCAGGUGCACAUUGAGCUGCAGAUGGCCUUGGACAGUAAGGACAGUGACAUCGAGCAGCUGCGCUGUCAGCUGACCUCUCUGAGCAUCACCUCCAUGGACUCCACUAGUUUCAGCAGUGGUAACGACCUGGACAUGGACGACAGCGGUUACCCAGAUACCAGGCUGGAGGGCUGGCUGUCACUUCCUGCCAAGAAUACCAAGAGGUUUGGAUGGGAUAGAAAGUAUGUGGUAGUGAGCAGUAAGAAGAUUCUGUUCUACAACAGUGAGAUGGACCGAGAGCAGUCCAACCCCUUCAUGAUCCUAGACAUCAAUAAGCUGUUCCACAUCCGACCGGUCACUCAGACAGACGUGUACCGCGCUGACGUCAAAGAAAUCCCCCGGAUAUUCCAGAUUCUGUACGCCAACGAGGGCGAGAGCAAGCGGGAGCAAGAGUUUGCGGCGGAGCCCCUAACGCUGACAGGCGAGCGCUCGUCCUUCGUCAGGCACAAGGGUCACGAGUUCAUCCCCACGUUCUACCACCUGCCGUCUAGCUGUGAGGCAUGCACGCGACCUCUGUGGAACGUGUUCAAGCCGCCGCCCGCGCUGGAGUGCCGCCGCUGCCACACCAAGUGCCACAAGGACCACCUAGACCGGAAGGAGGAGGUCAUCGCCCCCUGCAGGGUAAACUAUGACAUGUCCACGGCCAAAGACCUGCUCCUAUUGGCCGGCUCUCAGACAGAGCAGAAGAGAUGGGUCAGCCAGCUAAUCAAACGCAUCCCCCGGAAACACCCCACCCCUAGCCCCGCCCCCACGGCAGCCUCCGCUGCCCAAGCCCCCGAGCCACCCUCUCGCUCCUCCCCAGAAACCUCCCCACAAGCUUCCCCCCGCAACACCCCACAACGCUCCCCCCCCCGCAACUCCCCUAGCCUUUCCUACCGCGGAGCCAUCAAGGUCCAGCCCAGUCGCCAGAAGACUCAGCUCGAAGGGAAGCCCAGUAAUGGCCCCAUGCUCAGAAUCAUCCUCCACUGACACUUGACUCCUCACCUUUGAACCCCCCAUCAUACUAGUGCUAAUCACUCUGCUAGACUUUUACCUCUAUGAUACAAAGAUGUGCUGAAUCCUCUCACAUGUGGACUGGAGCCUGAACACAGUGGAACCUAUACAUCUACUUUGCCUUUUAAGAAACAAAGGUAGUGUCUCAAAUGGGGCCCUAUUCCCUAUAUAGUGCACAACGUUUGACCAGGGCCCAUAUGGUUCUGGUCAGAAGUAGUUGCACUAUAUAGGGAGUAAGGUGCCAUUUUGGAUUCAACCAAAGACUGCAAAACGCCAGAUAUUUUAGGGAAAGAGGGUCAGGUUAACGUUGCAUUCAUGUAAGGACUGCAGUCGGACUUGCAUAUGUCUCAGUAAACCAAAUGGUUUCACCUUCUGCCUUCUCCAGUAUAGCCUGGUCCUAGAUCCGUUUGUGCCGUCUUGCCAACUCCAUUGCUGUGCUGUUGUCAUGCCAAUGGCAAGACGGCACAAACCGAUCUGGCACCAGGCUUCAUACACUAUGCAUGUCAUGGCAAAUUUGUACAAUUCCAUGAUUUCAUGGAUCGAGAAAAUGAAAUACUUUGCAGGUCGCUCUAAAACUGCCUUAUUUUAUAAAUGUCAUGAUGAAAUACAUACAGACCUAGCCAUAUAUUUGCCUGUGUCUUUACAUGCCUGGGUGAUCCUCAUAAGCUAUAUAAUUAGAUGGGUCUGUAUUAGGUGUGUGUAUAUAUAGGAAUACGUGUUCUGUCAGUGUAUUAUUGCCACAAAGAUACAGUACCAGUCACAAGUUUGGACACCUACUUAUUCAAGGGUCUUAAUUCAUUUUUACUAUUUUCUACAUUGUAGAAUAAUAGUGAAGACAUCAAAUAAAACAUGGAAUCAUGUAGUAACCAAAAAAGUGUCAAAAAAAUCUAAAUAUAUUUUAUAUUUAAGACUCUUUAAAGUAGCCACCCUUUGCCUUGAUGACAGCUUUGCACACUCUUGGGUAUUCUCUCAACCAAUUUCACCUGGAAUGCUUUUCCAACAGUCUUGAAGGAGUUCCCACAUGCUGAGCAUUUUUACGGUCCAACUCAUCCCUAACCAUCUCAAUUGGGUUGAGGUCGGGUGAUUGUGGAACCCAGGUCAUCUGACACAGCACUCCAUCACUCUCCUUCUUGGUCAAAUAGAAAUUACACAACCUGGAGGUGUGUUAUGUCAUUAAAAAAAAUGAUAAUCCCACUAAGCGCAAACCGGAUGGGAUGGCGUAUCACUACAGAAUGCUGUGGUAGCCAUGCUGGUUAAGUGUGCCUUGAAUUCUAAAUAAAUCACUGACAGUGUCACCAGCAAAGCACCAUCACACAACCUCCUCCAUGCUUCAUGGUGGGAACCACACAUGCGGAGAUCGCAAAAUUUGGACUUAUCAGACCCAAGGACUGAUUUCCACCGGUCUAAUGUCCAUUGCUCGUGUUUCUGGGCCCAAGCAAGUUUAUUUUUCUUAUUGGUGUCCUUUAGUAGUGGUUUCUUUGCAACAAUUCAACCAUGAAGGCCUGCUUCACGUAGUCUCCUCUGAACAGUUGAUGUUGAGAUGUCUGUUACUUGAAGCAUUUAUUUGGGCUGCAAUAUCUGAGGCUGGUAACUCUAAGGAACUUAUCCUCUGUAGCAGAGUUAACUCUGGGUCUUCCUUUCCUGUGGUGGUCCUCAUGAGAGCCAGUUUCAUCAUAGCACUUGAUGGUUUUUGCGACUGCACUUGAAGAGUCUUUCAAAGUUCUUGAAAUGUUCUGCAUUGACUGACCUUCAUGUCUUAAAGUAAUGAUGGACUGCUGUUUCUCUUUGCUUAUUUGAGUUGUUCUUGCCAUAAUAUAUACUUGGUCUUUUACAAAAUAGGGCUAUCUUUUGUAUACCUUGUCACAGCACAACUGAUUGGCUCAGAAGGAAAGAAAUUCCACAAAUUAACUUUUAACAAGGCACACCUGUUAAUUGAAAUGCAAUCCAGGUGACUACCUCAUGAAGCUGGUUGAGAGAAUGCCAAGUGUGCAAAGCUGUCAUCAAGGCAAAGGGUGGCUACUUUGAAGAAUCUCAAAUAUACAAUAUAUUUUCAUUUGUUUAACACUUUCUUGGUUACUACAUGAUUCCAUGUGUUAUUUAAUAGUUUUGAUGUCUUCACUAUUAUUCUACAAUGUAUGAAAAAAGUUUAAAUAAAUUAAAACCCUUGACUGAGUAGGUGUGUCCAAACUUUUGACUGGUACCGUAUGUGAUAGUUUUAUUUUUACGAAAACUAAAUAUUUCACUGCACAUAUUUUUCCCUGUAAUGUUACAAGAUAGGCUAUGUAUAAAAAAUAUAAUUUAAAGUGUGAAAUCUGAGUUUAGUCUACAAUUGAUACUUAGAUGAGUGUAUUACUUCAUUCAAAUCAUGUUACAUUAUCAGAGUAAAGUGUUUGUAGCCUAGUCCCAGCUCUGUUUGUUCUGUCUUGUCAACAACACCAACCAAAGGGGCAAAACGGCACAAAUGGAUCUGGAAACAAGCUAAAGUGUUUGUCUUUACGACCGAAUAAGGUGAACCAUGAAGUACAAUAUGGGAAUAUUCUUCCACAGUCGCCCCAAUGGACGCUGAUCCUGGGUCAGUUUUGGAUUUAGCCCACUAAUGGUUACGGUUAGGAUUGGGGGAGGGGAAGCUAUUCCUAGAUCUGUACCUAGAGAAGACUUCACCCCCGGAGUUUCUCGUCAUCAGUUUUCAGGCUUCAGUAAACAAUGCUGACCGUCAGACAGAACUGGAACAAUAUAUUCAAUUUAUGUUCUAUAUCACUGCCCGUCUACUACAUGGCUUGUUGGGAAAUCUGAAUAAAUACUGUACUCGAUAA